GUAUAUUAACUUUAUAUAUGAUUCAACAUUCUAAACACAUUCUAGAGGUUGUGAAAAUGACAUAGACCUGAAAAAUACGAGGGAAAGCCGACUCUUGAAAAAACAAAGAGCACAGCAGUCCCCCAACUUGAAUUUCUUCAAAAAAGAUCCAGGUCUACAAUAUGUGCACAGUUGGAGAAAUGAUAAAUAUGACAAGCGUGCACAUACCCCUGCAAGGGGGCCAGCAACAGCCUGAUCAAGUUUAUUCGUUAAUGAUCCUUCCGCAGGUUCACCUACGGAAA
rnacentral:misc_RNA from 1 species